AUCUGUAUAGUAUAUAAGUACAUUUGACUUCCAAUCACAAGGUCUGUUGAUGAACAGUACAGAUA
rnacentral:tRNA from 1 species